UACGGGGGGGGGCAAGCGUUGUUCGGAUUUACUGGGCGUAAAGGGCGCGUAGGCGGCGCCGCAAGUCGCGUGUGAAAGCCCCGGGCUCAACCUGGGAGGUGCGCGCGAGACUGUGGUGCUGGAGUUCGGGAGAGGAGCGUGGAAUUCCCAGUGUAGCGGUGAAAUGCGUAGAUAUCGAGAGGAACACCUGCGGCGAAGGCGGGUUGCUGGGCUGACACUGACGCUGAUGCGCGAAAGCCAGGGGAGCGAACGGG
rnacentral:rRNA from 1 species